rnacentral:rRNA from 1 species
CAGCAGCCGCGGGAAUACGGAGGGUGCAAGCGUUAAUCGGAAUUACUGGGCGUAAAGCGCACGCAGGCGGUCUGUCAAGUCAGAUGUGAAAUCCCCGGGCUUAACCUGGGAACUGCAUUUGAAACUGGCAGGCUAGAGUCUUGUAGAGGGGGGUAGAAUUCCAGGUGUAGCGGUGAAAUGCGUAGAGAUCUGGAGGAAUACCGGUGGCGAAGGCGGCCCCCUGGACAAAGACUGACGCUCAGGUGCGAAAGCGUGGGGAGCAAACAGGAUUAGAUACCCCAGUAGUCCCUGUCUCUUAUAA